rnacentral:rRNA from 1 species
GACGAACGCUGGCGGCGUGCCUAAUACAUGCAAGUCGAGCGAGCGGAACCAACAGAUUUAACUUCGGUAAUGACGUUGGGAAAGCGAGCGGCGGAUGGGUGAGUAACACGUGGGGAACCUGCCCCUAAGUCUGGGAUACCAUUUGGAAACAGGUGCUAAUACCGGAUAAUAAAGCAGAUCGCAUGAUCAGCUUUUGAAAGGCGGCGUAAGCUGUCGCUAAGGGAUGGCCCCGCGGUGCAUUAGCUAGUUGGUAAGGUAACGGCUUACCAAGGCGACGAUGCGUAGCCGACCUGAGAGGGUGAUCGGCCACAUUGGGACUCGAGACACGGCCCAGACUCCUACGGGAGGCAGCAGUGGGGAAUAUUGCACAAUGGGGGAAACCCUGAUGCAGCAACGCCGCGUGAGUGAUGACGGUCUUCGGAUUG